rnacentral:rRNA from 1 species
CGAUUACGGCUCAGUAACACGUAGCUGACCUACCCUUAGGACGUGGAUACCCCCGAGAAAUUGGGGUUAAUCCGCGAUAGAUGUAAUGUCCUGGAAUGGUAUUACGUCUAAAGGUAUUUCAUACAUGUUUGAAAUAUGCCUAAGGAUGGGGCUGCGGCCGAUCAGGCUGUUGGUGAGGUAAUGGCUCACCAAACCUUUGACCGGUACGGGCCAUGAGAGUGGUAGCCCGGAGAUGGACACUGAGACAAGGGUCCAGGCCCUAAGGGGCGCAGCAACCGCGAAACCUCCACAAUGCACUCACGUGCGAUGGGGCUAUCUCGAGUGCCACCUGAUGAAGGUGGCUUUUCCUAGGUCUUCAAAGCCUUGGGAAUAAGAGGGGGGCAAGACUGGUGUCAGCCGCCGCGGUAACACCAGCCCCUCGAGUGGUGGGGAUGAUUAUUUGGCCUAAAGCGUCCGUAGCC